GCAGGUUGGGACCGAGCUUCAGAGGGUUAAGGGGUGGUCAGUGCGAGAAAAGUUAUUGUUACAAAAAUAUGUCUGUUAUUUAAUGGAAAUACUCCACGAGACCAGGUACUCUUCUCUUUUCUCUAUACUGUCGAUACACCGACGAAUUUAUCAUAAAAUUAUGGAUUAUUUUUUCAUCGUUUGUACUUUUUCCUUUUCGCUCUCGUGGACUCCGAGUUGCCUGUAUCCGAAUCGACGAACGUGCCCGAAAUCGAGGUCGAUUUCAAACAUAAAAAGACUUUUAUCACAGUUGAAGAAAACAAUUCCCGUUAAACAACCAAGUCACCAGUUGCUCAUAUUGUUUUCUAUUCGAAUGUGGAUAAUCGUCGGGAAGAACAAUGCUGAUAAACAUUGUUCCGCGAACUCUUUCCAAGGCUAACAAUAAAGCUUGAAGACGAAUGUUCGGGAACUAUUUCCAAGGUGCCACGUUUCUCGUACUCAUAUAUUUUGUGCACGGUAAAAUAUCCAAGACGUCGAUACCAACAUCGAAGUCAUUUCUUUUAUAAAUCAUUUGCAGUUUUAACAAUCCUUCAACAUAUCGUGUGACCCUUUCUCAAGAAUUGCCGCGUGAUUUCUGGUUAUUUUGAUUUCUAACAAUAAAGGCUAACAAUAAAGCUCGAAGACGAAUGUUCCGGAACUAUUUCCAAGGUGGCACGUUUCGAUUAGUCAUAUUUUGACACGGUUAAAUAUUCAAGACGACGACGACGACAGCAUCGUAAUAGUGAACUGGUUGUGCACUCAGAAAAAUCUUUCCUAUUAUACCGGACCGCACAGCCUAAAUUGAAAGUUUUUUCUAAUUUCCAUUGCAUAUUGCUUUAAAAUAUGGCUGCUGCGGCGGCGGCGGCGAUGCUGAUGCAAAACCCGGAAGCGAUGCAGGCGGCAUCGUCAGGGCUCAAGACAAUUUUCAUAGUAUGGGCGUGUAUAAUCGGACUCUUCUUCCUAUCGAUAUUGGUAAUGGUGGUGGCGUGUUGUGGAUGCAAACGCCGCCGAAGAAAGAGAGAGACGGAAGAGAAAGAAAUGCCUAUGGCAACAGAUAAAGAGGACAUCGUAGAUGAUGAAAAACAUGAAACACGUGUUGAAUAAAAUCUGCGAUUCAAUAAAAUACUACAGAAAUGUAAAAUCGUCUCGAUGAAAUAAAAUAUUGAAAAAUGUA